rnacentral:tRNA from 1 species
AAAGAGGUGGCUGAGUGGUCAAAAGCGUUUGUUUGGAAAACAAAUGGAGUAAUUUCCUCGUAGGUUCAAAUCCUAUCCUCUUCU